ensembl:miRNA
GUGUCCUCAGGGUCCAGUUUUCCCAGGAAUCCCUUAGGCACUAUGACGGGGAUUCCUGGAAAUACUGUUCUUGAGGCCAUGGCUCAGCAGCU